rnacentral:sRNA from 2 species
GGAAGCGAUUUCUAGGGUUCCGGCCCCCAAUUCCCCUGGGGGCGUCUGGUCCAAGAGAAGUCCACUGGGUUCACCCAGAUGCACGGAGGGACAAAAACCCGGGAGGC